rnacentral:rRNA from 1 species
UACAGAGGUCUCACGCGUUGUUCGGAUUCAUUGGGCGUAAAGGGUGCGUAGGCGGCGCGGUAAGUCGGGUGUGAAAUCUCGGGGCUUAACUCCGAAACUGCAUUCGAUACUGCCGUGCUUGAGGACUGGAGAGGAGACUGGAAUUUACGGUGUAGCGGUGAAAUGCGUAGAUAUCGUAAGGAAGACCAGUGGCGAAGGCGGGUCUCUGGACAGUUCCUGACGCUGAGGCACGAAGGUCAGGGGAGCAAACGGG